rnacentral:misc_RNA from 1 species
CACAAUAAACAUAUGAAGGCUGCACCGCCAACAGGCGGCAAGGCUGGAGUAUUUUAUUACCCUUGUCUUUUGCGCACUUGCUGUUUCCUGGGCCGGGUUCGCCCGCCUCCAGGACACACAUGAUAAACCUUUUUUAUGCAGUUGCAAUCAGCGUCAGUACAACAAAAUGUAAAUCAUUUA